rnacentral:lncRNA from 10 species
GUCAUCAGCUCAAGUGAGAUAAGAUUUGUGAAAAUGCUUUGUAAAUGUUGUCUGAGGGUAUGAAAUGAGCAGUAGUUGUUAUGAAUAGUAUUCUCACCAUUUGGACAGCCUGGCUCACACCACCUGUACUAUUCGAAAGGAGCAGUCUGGACCCUGUGGAGUGGCGAGAGGGAGAGACAGCUGGGCUGCGGUCUGAUGGAAGGGGACGGUCUGGUUAUUACUUGAGGAGAAGCUGUUCUGCAGUCUCUUUGUACUGAACGUAUUCUUUUCUUCCCAGGACAUGAACAGAGAAGUGGUGAAGACUGACUCUGCUGCCACAAGGAUUCCUGAGCUAGAUUUUGAAAUUCCUGCCUUUAGCCAGAAAGGAGCUCUGACCACUGUUGAAGGAUUGAUCACCCGUGCUAUCUCUGGCCUGGAGCAGGACC